rnacentral:misc_RNA from 1 species
CGCCCAGCAUCAAAAGUAUAAGCCACCUGAGGUGUUCCUACAGAACGAUUCCAUUUUUCAACACAGCUGAUUAUCCUGUGUGAUGUAUCGUUCAUGUAGAAAAUUGGAGGACAUGUAUCCAUGCAGACAGCAUGGAACUGGUUACUAUCAGCACAUGUUAAGUGUGCAAAAGAUGCAAAAUUGCGGUUUUUUAUGGACUCUUCCAUUUGUACAAUGCGUUUUGGUACGAUCUCCUUAGCUCUAUGUUGCAAAAGCAAGCUGGUUUCAACAGUCUCACGCAUUCCUGUAGUGCUACUAGUUUCUUUCUGCCGUGAACUUACCACAGCAAUAAUAAUAACAAGAUCAUCCCAGUGCUUCUCAUCUACAACUUCAACAGCAAGGCUGUCACUUCCAUCCUCAAACUUUCCCAUGUUCCACUUUACAAAUCCACCAAACAAACUACGACAAGCACUGCCUGAACCUUGUCUUGCAAUAGCAGAAAGCUCACUAUUAUCUUCUUUAGCAUUCAUCAGCUUUGCAAGGGCAAAAACCAGACAAGCAAAACCAGCUGCUGAAGAAGCCAGUCCAGCAGCAGUAGGGAA